CCCGGGCUUCUUCCGCCAACAUCUCCUCACUCGGCCGUCGCGCGCCCCAUCCCCUCCCCCCUCCGGGCUUAACUUCUUCUGGGACGCCGCUUCCUCUUCCGCCGAGCCCGUCCGCGCGCCCCGACGUAACAACAAGGAACGAAUCUUCCGCUCAAGAACAAGCGCGCAACUUACUAGAAACGAACGAGCCACAAGGACGACCGAGUUCCAAAAGGGGGCGGGGCCGAACGAGGAGCACCGGGAGGGGAGGGAAGGACGGCGCAGAAGGUGGUUGGAGGAGCCCGGCGUAAGGAUAACUGGCAGGAGCAAAACUAACCAAUCAGGAAACAGAAGCUCGCCAAUUAUUCAGGAGCCAGGACCUGCCACAGCUCUGCCUUAGGAAUUCGAGAGAGUGACAGCGGAAUUGUCCAACGCGGGAGGCUGAAGCGAGGAGCGUCAAGCCAAGCAGGUGAAAGAAGAUGAUUCUGUGAGUAUCGGAGUGGAAUGAGCGGACAGCCAACGGAGAGCGAGGAAAAGGCUGAAGACGAGCCUUGAGUGCCUGCGCGCUCGCUCGAGUCUGGAGUUGAUUCCAUGCGCUGUGUGGCCGUGAAGGUAGAGCAGCGAUUCUCUCUCGGGUUUCCGGAAUUCCUUGCAAGAAGAAAAAAUCAAUGAUUUCUGUUUAGUACGACUGAUUCUUAUCCAAGCAAAAGAUGAGCAAAAUAUUUGAAAGUGGUGCUAGCAAGAGGAAGAGACUUGAAAAUUAUACACUAAAACAGUUAAGCCCAAUCACUGCUUUCUUGCAUCAGUCACUGACAGAAGCAACAAGUGCCAGCAGUGAAGCAGAUACAUUGAUACUAACACAAGGAAAUCAGUGUGAUGGGGCUACCCAGCUAACUACUAGCAUUCAACCAGAAGAAAAACCUCCCUGAAACAGAAACAGCUAAACAGGACACGGAACAGCAAGCUGAUUUUUGAGGAAGCCGCCAUGAUGCUGGCUCAAAAUGAAAAUAUAGAAUUAAUUCAAGAGUGUCUUACUGGACAUGUAGAGAUUAAAGAGCCAUAAGAAAAUAAUGUGGACAAUCAGAAUUUUAAUCUCACACCUGGUAAAGUAGACCAAGUUCAAGAUAUUUUAGAUGUAGUUAUAGAUGAAACCAAAUUUAGAUCUGUGUAACAGAUGUUUGUUUGUGGACAGAAUUGUCACAUGAGGAAGAGAGAAGGGCCCUCUCAAGUUCAACAUUUUAAGGACCAUUUUCAAAUUCCAAGCAAAUGUACAAAAACCAGUCCAGCUUUUGCACAAAAGCUCUUUUUUAUUCAACAAAAGGCAAUGAAAAAACAUAUAGCCAAAAGUGGCUUGUGUAUUCUUCAUCAAAAGGCCAGAUUUAUUGCUUUGUCUGUAAACUCUUUCCAAACUUGCAUCUUCUGCUACAGCUUUAGCUUCUGAAGGGAUGAUGACUGGCAAAACUCCUAUCUCAUCCAGACUCAUGAAAACAUGGAGAAGCACAGGAAUGCCAUAUUGACCUAUCUAACAAGGAAGUGAGGGCAAGUGUUAACUUCAUAGCCAGAGGAACAAAUAAAAGCAGACCAGUAGUACUGGCAGCAUGUCAUGGAGAGAAAUUGUUGCUGUAAUAUGCACUCUUGCAGAAUGAGGCUUACCAUUCAGAGAAGACAAUGAACAAUUUGGAUCUCCAAAUAACAGCAAUUAUCUUGGUCUUUUACAACUAGUAGCAAAAUCCAUUUUUACUGGCUCAUAUCAAUCAGUAUGGAAAUUCCAGAUCAGGAAAUCCCUCUUAUUUGUCAAAUCUGUAUGUGAAAAAAUGAGUCCUCAUGGAAAAAAAAAGGUUAUGGAUGCAAUUCUGACUGAUGUGAAAAGGGUUCACCACUGACAUUUCACAUACUGAUCAGUUGACUUUAAUUAUCAGAUAUGUAUCACCUGAAGGUGGUUUAUCAAGUGAGAGAUUUUUAACUUUGUUUGAGCUAAAAGACCACUCAGAGGAAAGCAUGGCUUUUUCAGUGUUUAGCUAUCUCACUACUGAGCUUGAAAUUGACUUUAGAAAACGUUGAGGGCAGUCUUACGACAGUAUCAUCAACAUGGCUGGUAGGUACAACAGUACACAGCAAAAAAAAUAAUCAACAAUUUGCAAGAUUUAUUCCAUGAGCUUGUCAUUCUUAACAUUUGGUAAGUUGUUUAGCUGUUGAUUGCUGCCUUGAUGCAGUGAACUGUUCUGGCAUUAUCAAUGAAAUUUAUACCUUCUUUUCAUCCUACACAAAGAGAUGGACAGUUCUAAAAUUAUUUUUGCAACAUCAGUCAAAAGUGCCUAUUUGUCAGACACUAGGUGGGAGGAACAUGCAAAAGCUACAGAAGCUAUUUUGGAAAGUUACAGUGCUAUCACUGAUGCCCUCAAUCAUUUGUACUCUGAUGUUAAUAGGAAGGGUGAUAACAGAUUUCAAGCUAACAAUCUUUUGCAGAAAAUGGAAGAACUGGAAUUUGUGUUUAUGCUGCAUUUUUGGACCUAUGUGCUAGGUGAUUUUUACAGGGUCUGCCAAGCCAUUCAGAGAUCAGAACUGUUCUUAAGAACUUGUGCAAGUUUGUACAGUUCACUUCAGUAUUUUUUAAAACAAAAUUAGAGAAGAUUUUGAUGAGCUUGAGCAAUAAGCAAAAGUCACCUUGCCAAACGUUAACUACAGGACAGUCACAAGGAGACAAAGACUAAAUAAACGGCAAGGAAAUGAUGGAAGUCACCAGGUACUGAUGCCUUAGAUGAACUUUCUUCAAGAGAUAAGUUUAGGAUGAAAUCCUUUAUUCCUAUACUACAUGCAUUUUAAGCCAGUUUAAGAAGAGCUAUAGUGUACAGUGAUGUUGCACAAAUGUUUUGCUUUCUUGCUAAUCUGACAGCAUCUAAGGAAGAAAUUCUGCAAAGUGUUGAACUGUUGAUUGAAGCAUACUGAGAAGAUGUCGACCUGAAAUUUAGUGAUGAACGUUUGCACUUUCACAUGUAUGUGAGACAAAGCCAUAGGUCUACAGAAGAGCACACUCUGUCUCAAAUUAUAUACAAGAAAUCGUUCAGAUGGCCUUCCCUAAUGUGGAAGCAGUUUUGCGGCUAUUUCUUAGCUUAAUGGUCACUUCUGCUUAGGAGAUAGAUCUUUUUCAAAACUCAAAAGAAUUAAAAAAUGAAUUUAGGGUUA